ACCGGCAGCUAGCUCUCUGCAACUCUCACAUGAUCGCCCACUGAAGCUAAGCAGGGCUGCGCCUGGUCAGUACCUGGAUGUGAGACUACAUGGGAAAGAUAGGUUACUGCUGGAA
rnacentral:rRNA from 1 species